AUUCAGGCCGGACUGGUUGCAUAUGACUCAUUGAUAGUCAUAAGGAGGCUUCCUGUCAUGUGACUUUUUGCCUGUACAGUGAGCUCAAGGAAUGGUUUUAAUAGUACAUUGGCUGAACUCUUGGUGGAUGUUGCUCUACCUGUGAUCUGAUCUAGAACUGGCUUCUUUUACCUGCAAACUAGCCAUAACAUAACAGUUGGUGAUUUGGAAGUGCUCGUGGCAGAGGCGUGGAGCAGGCCAGGAUGGAUGAAGUUGCCAGGGCUGAAGCGGGGCUCUAGAGUAGCUGCGUGUGAUUCAUGGUUGUCAGGCAAGCAGCGAGCAGCGCCAUCCCUCACCAGACAGCGCCGGCCCUGCACCACACCAGCGCUAUUACCCAGAUGAAUAUGACUGCUCUGCUCCAUACUCCCCAAAGCCCACACACCCAAGGAGCUAAUGCUAACACUGAGCACAGCUUCUGGGACAACAAACUGUGUGUGACAGAGGAAGGAAAAGAAAGACAGAGAUAAACAAAGAAUGCAGAAACACUAAUUAAGACAUUUCAUGACAUGAUCUGCUGUGUGUACAAACAGGAUAAUUCAUGUUUUGGUUGUAAAACGGAUAGUUGUGGUUCUUGAUGCUGAUUGGUCAACACACUGGUGAAACACCUGCUAGCUACUUGGUGAGGGCAUCAUGUGCCACCAAUGUAUUUUGGUAAGCACCCCCAUGUUCAAAUCCUGACCAAAUAUAUCAGUUAUCUAAUGAACAAAAAUGAAAUUGCAAUUAAUGUGUAAUCAUCAUUCUUUUUCAUUUUAAGAAAGCAGAUUUUAUAUUUUGAUUUUUGCAGAUUUUUUUGUUGUUUGGGUGACGUGAGGGCAGAAAGAUGAUCUGCACAAGAACUGACUUGAUUGAACUGCACAAUAUAACAGAACCAUAUCAAAUACCCACUGAUAUUAAGAUAUCGAUAUUGAUCCAUAUUGAAU